GACGAACGCUGGCGGCGUGCUUAACACAUGCAAGUCGAACGGUGAAGCUCCAGCUUGCUGGAGUGGAUCAGUGGCGAACGGGUGAGUAACACGUGAGCAACCUGCCCCUGACUCUGGAAUAAGCGCUGGAAACGGCGUCUAAUACUGGAUACGAGAAGGGUCCGCAUGGGCACUUUCUGGAAAGUUUUUCGGUUGGGGAUGAGCUCGCGGCCUAUCAGCUUGUUGGUGAGGUAAUGGCCCACCAAGGCGACGACGGGUAGCCGGCCUGAGAGGGCGACCGGCCACACUGGGACUGAGACACGGCCCAGACUCCUACGGGAGGCAGCAGUGGGGAAUAUUGCACAAUGGGCGAAAGCCUGAUGCAGCGACGCCGCGUGAGGGAUGACGGCCUUCGGGUUGUAAACCUCUUUCAGCAGGGAAGAAGCGAAAGUGACGGUACCUGCAGAAGAAGCACCGGCUAACUACGUG
rnacentral:rRNA from 1 species